UGUGUAGGCGGUUGUUUAAGUUUGGUGUGAAAUCUCCCGGCUCAACUGGGAGGGUGCGCCGAAUACUGAAUGACUUGGAGUACGGGAGAGGAAAGUGGAAUUCCUGGUGUAGCGGUGAAAUGCGUAGAUAUCAGGAGGAACACCGGUGGUGUAGACGGCUUUCUGGACCGUAACUGACGCUGAGACACGAAAGCGUGGGUAGCAAACAGGAUUAGAUACCCUGGUAGUCCACGCCCUAAACGAUCGCAUAUUUGGUGUGGGCAGUUCAUUCUGUCCGUGCCGGAGCUAACGCGUUAAAUAUGCCGCCUGGGGAGUACAGUCGCAAGGCUGAA
rnacentral:rRNA from 1 species